rnacentral:rRNA from 1 species
GUCCACGCUGUAAAACGAUGGGUGCUGGGUGCUGGGAUGUAUGUCUCGGUGCCGUAGCUAACGCGAUAAGCACCCCGCCUGGGGAGUACGGUCGCAAGGCUGAAACUCAAAGAAAUUGACGGGGGGCCCGCACAAGCGGUGGAGUAUGUGGUUUAAUUCGAUGCAACGCGAAGAACCUUACCCAGGCUUGACAUCUAGGGAACCCUUCGGAAAUGAAGGGGUGCCCUUCGGGGAGCCCUAAGACAGGUGCUGCAUGGCUGUCGU